CUAGAAUCUAUGAUUAUAAACAAAGAGCUUUUGGAAUUCUGGAAUUUAAACAUUCUGAAUAGUUUAUUUGUCUUGACGGAAAGUAAAAAGAACAAACUUGUUUUAUACAAAAUCAGAUGCUCCAAAUGGUCAGUUGAUGAUGAUACCAAUCAAAGAAAACUAAGGAGGAAGAAAAAGAAAACAGGAAAGAGAGGAGGCAACAGGAAAAUCGGCCUUCUUCCUUCAGUCUACAUUUAGCAAUUCUACAUUUUGAAGAAACAUGCCAAUGAGCUUGAAAUUGCCAGGGAUGGAUAAAUCUGAAGAUGAAUGAAAAAAAGAAACUACUGGGAACGGAACAGAAACAAAAAAAAAGGAUGGGAAAUCUGAAGCUGCUAUUUCUUAUUCUGAUCUUAAUAGCAGGAUACAGUUGAAUAAUAACAUUAUCUAUUGGAGAUCACUGAAAUGUAGGGAGGGAAUUCCAUUUUGAAAACUUUAAUAUGUAGAGAGUCAAUACAUCAUUUUCACAAGCAAUAUCCUUAGAAGAAAGGAUUUUUUUUAGAACUAUCAUGCUACAGAAAACUGCAUUUUUAUAGUAACUGAAAGAUGCAAAGUUACUGAAAAAAUAAAACUGCCAUUUUAUUGUAUUGCCAUUAAUCACAUGGUUUGAAUUUUGAUUACUUGUAGAGACUGAGACUAUUA
rnacentral:lncRNA from 10 species